rnacentral:rRNA from 1 species
AACGAACGCUGGCGGCAUGCCUAACACAUGCAAGUCGAACGAGACCUUCGGGUCUAGUGGCGCACGGGUGCGUAACGCGGGGGAACCUGCCCGUAGGUUCGGAAUAACUCCCCGAAAGGGGUGCUAAUACCGGAUAAUGUCUUCGGACCAAAGAUUUAUCGCCUUUGGAUGGGCCCGCGUUGGCUUAGCUGGUUGGUAGGGUAAAAGCCUACCAAGGCGACGAUCCAUAGCUGGUCUGAGAGGAUGAUCCGCCACACUGGGACUGAGACACGGCCCAGACUCCUACGGGAGGCAGCAGUGGGGAAUAUUGGACGAUGGGCGAAAGCCUGAUCCAGCAAUGCCGCGUGAGUGAUGAAGGCCUUAGGGUUGUAAAGCUCUUUUACCCGGGAUGAUAAUGACAGUACCGGGAGAAUAAGCUCCGGCUAACUCCGUG